rnacentral:lncRNA from 1 species
AUCCAUUUUGAGUUGAGUUUUGUGCAUGGUGAGAAAUAGGGGUUUAAUUUCAUUUUGUUGCAUAUGGAUUUCCAGUUUUCCCAGCAUCAUUUGUUGAAUCCCACAUUUCUUGAUGAACUUACAGAACUGUUUAAUCUUUGGAGAACUUGAGCAGCUCCACAGUUUACUAUUCAUACAGAACAAAGCCAUACAACUCUUGGGGUCAUGUCCGAUGUGAAUGUGGUGUGCUUGGUAAGGUGCCUGUGGUUGCAGCUGUGCCUUGACUUGCUCAUGCUCUUCGUCACCUUAUUGUCCUUGUUGAGGCCCGUGGCCACAGAGGGGCCACACCGCCAUGGCUAUUGUACUUCCACAGAUCUGCUUGCUAAUGCUCUGGAUAAGUCUUUCUACAGUUAAGGUCUCAAUGUGUCUCUGGGGUCCCUUGCUCUUCUGCUGUCUACCUUCUAAUGGUCCUGGGGUGUCUUGGUUGUGGAGACUCUGGAUACUCAAGCUAUGGGUUCAAACUGAAGAGAAAGAAGAGAGGUCAGAACUAAGCAAAGAAAUAUUAGGAAAUAAAAGAGGGAAGGAAGGAAGGAAAGAAGGAGAAGAAGAAGAGGAGAAGAGAGAAGGAAAGGGAAAGAAUCUGGCAAAUGAAGGAACGUUUUGUGAUGAUAGAGUAAUAUAAUAUUUUUUCUUGUGUGACUAAAAAUCCAUCUCUGAAGACAGUUUAAUUAGGGUAGCACCAAACAUAAAUUUUAAACAUGGAAAAUUUUCUGAUAAAAGGAAACUGGACUAUGACACAUUUGGGGAGAAAGAUUGGACUACAAAAAUUUGCAUUCUGAGGAAUCAGGAUCCUCUUUGGCUUUGAAAUUUUUGCAUUCUGCCACUACUCAAGUCAAAGUCUAACAGUGAGGAUAGCCUUGAGGUGAAGGGUCACAGGCUAAACUGUUCAGUCAGGAUGAGGGUUAGUUUUUGUUUGCAUGCUAAAAGGAAGGAUAUUCACAUACUAUCUAGCUUUGAGGUGAAGUUGUGGUGCAGAGCAAUGGUAGCCUAAGAAUGUAGGUGCCCCAUCUAUUUCAGAGGCAUGGGAAGGAUCAACCAUUCACCUGAUCAUUAAUGUCUCCAAAGCUAGAGGAGAAUUUGUAAUGGAAGGAAUAUUUUAUAAUUUCUUGAAGUAGUCAUUGAAUGAAUCUAACUCUCCAAGUAUCUUAUUAUACAUAACUGUCAAAAAUAUCUAAAACUGGCUGGGCACGGUGGCCUGUAAUCCCAGUGGCUUGCGAGGCUGAGACAGGAGGAUCGUGAGUUCAAAGCCAGCCUCAGCUAAGCAACUCAGUGAGACCCUGUCUCUAAAUAAAAUACAAAAUAAGGGAUGUGGGUCAGUGGUUGAGUGUCCCUGGGUUCAAUACCUGAGACCAAAAAAAAAAAAGAAUUCUCAUUCAUUGUUGUUGGUAGAAGUACAAGCACUUGGUAGUUAAUAAGGUCCUAUUAAAUGUUUAUGUUGUUUUAAUGUUUGACCUAGCAGUUAAACUUUGCACAAGUUUAUAAUGACAAAUGUAUGAGAAUAUACAUUUGGUAAAUUUUUAACCUUUUCUUUUGUGAACAAAACACAUUUAAAUAAGUUCAUAAAAUUUAAAUGUAUGGUUUAAUGAAUAAAUAGGAAGCAAAUCAUCAUAUAACCAACACUCAUGCCAAGAGAGAUAUCAGUGCUAGUUUCCCAGAAGUCUUCAUGUUAUCUUUCCCAAUUAUAAUUCUAUUUCUCUCCUCUAGAGGUAACUUCUUCUUUUAAAUUAAUGCAUUAAUUAUAAAGAAUAAUGAGUUUCAUUGUGGCAUAUUUGUACAUGUAUACAACAAAUUUUGAUCAUUUCUGUCCCCUAUCAUCCUCCUCUUACUCUCUCAUCCCUCCCCUCUGAUCCUCUUCUAGAGGUAAGCUCUUUUCUCAUUUUCAUAUCUGCUAGAACUGGGCUGUUCAGUGUGGUAGCCACUAGCCACAUGUGGCUAUUGAGCACUUCUAGUGUGGUUAGUCUGCAUUAAGAUAUGCUGUAAAGUCUGGGCACGGUGGCACGCACCUGUAAUCCCAGUGGCUCAGGAGGAGGAGGCAGGAGGAUCACAAGUUCAAAGCCAGCCUCAGCAAUUUAGAGAGGCGCUAAGCAACUCAGUGAGGCCCUGUCUCUAAUAAAAUACAAAAUAGGGCUAGGGAUAUGGCUCAGUGGUCGAGUGCCCCUGAGUUCAAUCCCUUGUACCAAAAUAAAUAAAUAAAUAAAUAAAUAAAUUUAAAAAAUUAAAAAAAAGAGAUGUGCUUUAAGUGUAAAAUUCACACUGAAUUUUGGAGACUUAGUGUGAAAAACCGUAAAGCAUCUCAGCAAUACAUUUUUAUAUUGCUUACACAUUGAAAUUUUUGAGUAUAUUAGGCUAAAUAAAAUAGAUUAUUGAUUUCACCUGUUUAUUUUUGUUUCAUUUAAUGUGACUACUAACUUUUAAUUUAAAAUUAAUUUAAUUUUAAAUUACACAUACAGCUUACUUUUGUAGCUCACAUUAUAUUUAUAUGGGGCAGCACUGCUCUGCAGGUAUCACCAUCUUGACUUUUUUCUUUUCUUUUUUUCUUUUGGAAUAUUUAUCAUGCUGGUCUUAAAUUUGUGGGCUCAAGAGGAUCCUCCUAUCUUGGCUUCCUGAGUCACUGGGAUUACAGGCAUGCACCAAGCACCUGACUUAAGUUUUUGAUAAUGAUGUUCUUCCUUUAGAUUUUUUGCCACUUGUGCAUGCAUCCAUAAAACAGCAUUGUUUAAUUUUCUUAUUUUUAAAAUUUAUAUGAAUGGAAAGUGCUUUAUGUAUUCUUUUGCAUCUUUCUUUUAUUGCUUAUGUUUGUAUAGUUAACCCUGCUUUUAUAUAUAAGUAUAAUUCAUUCAUUUCCAUUGCUGUGUUUCAUAUUCCAUUUUGUGAAUAUGCACAGCAAUUUAUUUAUUCAUUCUACUGUGUUAAUUUAUACUCCUAUCACAAUGUAUGAGUUACAGCCUUGCCUUUAAUAGUGAAAAAUGGAAAACUUCCCAAAUGCCCACCAGUAGGAAUUGGCAAGUAAAUUAUAGUACAUCUAUGCAAUGAAAUGCCAUAUAAGUGUUUAAAAAAAC